UUUCACCUGACAGAGAGGGGACAGGGAGACCCAUGGGUUCAGGGCCCUGGGCUCAGGGAGUGCGCGUGGGUCAGCGAGGAAGGUCAGGGCCGGGUGGGCAGCACCGCUUGACCCGUGAGAGGCUGCCCUGCAGGACCCCGUCCGAUGGCACACACACCUGUGACCCUGGCACUCAGGAGGCUGAAACAGGAGGGUCCAGGCAUCCUGGGCAACCAGUGAGGCCUUGUCUUUAAAGCAUCUUGAGAUUUUUCAAUAUAUAAAUCAGUAAGAUGACUGUCACGGAGAUGGUAUGGUACUGACCCAAGACGAGACCCCCAGACCGAAGAGAGGGAUGAGAAAUGCAGCCAGAAACGGGACAGCAGUUCCUCCAGAGGAGCAUCAAGGGCACCAGGAGAAGAAGAGGAAGCGCGGUGUCACCCAGGACAGGCUGUGCAGCUGAGUGCCUCGAGGCUUGUGGGCUCCCUGUCCACCGGGGGCUUUCGGCCUGGCUCCCAGGAAUCUCUCAUCUGCUGUGCCAAACUGACAGAGGAGGAGACAGCUGGCUGUCAAAGGAGCAGGCGCCUGGUUCCUUGAGCAGAAGAGCCCGGGAAAAGAGCGAGAUGCCAACGACAGAGAAAGAGACUGAGCUGAAGGAGGCCUGUGGAAUGUGGUGGAAAAGACAGGCCAGGUUAGCCAGGCUCACCUCUAGUAAAGAAAGCAAUGUAUCCCCUGCCCGGAGACAACUCUACCACCACCUGGUGGUCACACGUGGGAAGUGCAUUUCUGGCUCUCACAUCACCUUGGCGUGACUGCGAGAGCCCAGCAGAGGGCGCUCUGGCCUCGUUUUCAACCACGGUGCUUCCAGGGACCCGAGAGCAGGCCGCACUCCCUGGAGGACCCGGAGCCUCGCGGGUCUGCGCCCUACUGCAGCCCGGCGUCGAGCAGGCGCAUGCGCACGGUGUUUAGCAGCCCCAGGGACGCUGACUCAGGGUUUAAAGUCUGAUCCUACUGUUGGCGGCUGAGUGCGACCAGGAUAAGAAUGCAGGGCGACCCACCUGCCCUGCUGACGCAUGGUUCUCGGAUCCGGGUGUCUCUGACGCUUUGGGCUAACUGUUCUAACUCAGAAAUUUCCUGACACUGUGGAGGAUGGAAAGUGCCCUGGCCUGGAGCUUUCUCCUACUUCUGCCUUAACUGGCCACGCUGCCCUGUCACGUCUGGUUUCCCACUUAAGGAGAGGUUGAGUGUUUAUCCUUUAGGUCUGUGAAUAUAUGUACUUUUGUGCUUCGCACUUAAGCUGUGACUAUGCUGAGUCUUAUGCACCCAUGUGUAUCCAUCAUGUAUUUACGCAUCCACUCACAUUAUUUACCCAUCGUCAGCUGACUGAUGGAUCCAUCCAUCCAUCCACAUCAGCCCACCCAUCCAUUUACCCAUCAGCCACCCAUCCACACGUCUACCCAGUGAACCGCCCCCUGUCCACCCAUCUUUCCAUUUCCAAACUCAUCCACCAUUCAUUUUCAUUUUUGUAUCCAUCCACCCUCACUCUAUCCACAUCUAUGAAUCUAUCCAUUUCUUUCCACACAUGCAGUGAACCAUUUAUCCAUUAAUCCAUGAUCCAUUCACCUAUUUUCCAUCUAGCUAUCCAGCAGUCCAUCCGUGCAUCUGUCCAUCCAGCAACUAUUACCGACAGCAAACACUCAGAGGAGGCCAGAGAACAGUAUGACCAUGGCACCGUCCUCCCGGAGCUCAGGGCUGGGCCAGGAGAGAGCUGAAAGAGUCACCUUGUGUCCCUGAGGUAUCUCAUGGUCACGGAAGCACAGCUUCCUAUCCAGCACAGAGGACGUGGGUCUAACCCAGAUGGAGGAGGCCAGAGGACAUACCCAGGCUGGAACCCUCCACAAGGAAAGGCUGAAAAAGAGCGUUCAGGACAGAAGAGCCCGGGCACAGCCUGGCACCAAGUGAACAAUGAGGGGGCCGAGGAGCGCGGUGGCAUUCAGCACGGUGCUGAGCGCAGGCCAGAGAGGCAGGUCCCCGGCCUUCGGAAGCUGCCGCCCUGUGACCGUGACCUGGGUGGGAGGCUGAUUUCCCGGCGCACCCCGUUCCUUCUCCUCUCCUUCUCUUCUCCCGGGUGCUCAGCUGUGGCCAGGCCCCAGCAGCCGUGGCGGGCGCAGAGCUGAGCGGCACCCCACCAGCUCCGGGAAGCCCACGCGUGGCUGGAAAGCCCCGUUCUAGAUUCGGGAAGCCGCUGGGGGCUCUGCACCCCUCGGCCUCGGGCUCGCAUCCCGGGAGGCUUCAGGACUGUGCCUCCUCCCAGAGGCCACCGGCACCGUCUGGGCUGUCCUCACCCCAGGAACACUCACCCAGGGCGUUGAAGGCGGUCUGCACCUUGAAGGUGACCUUCUGCUCCCUCGUCAGCACCGUGAAUGUGGUCCCAAAGGUCUCGCACUCAAGCAGCUUGCUGUAGCUUCUCAAACUGCCCGUCAGCUGGUGCACGAUCUCUUCGAGGGUUUUGUGCUGAGGUUUCAUCUGAUCGCGGAACUGUUGUAAUUCAUCCAGGAAGAAGACGAGGGUGCCGUCAGAGUCGCCUUUCAACAUUGUCUUCCUGCCGAAGGAGCCACCCUGCAGGUAAAAGAAUAGCAGAUACGAGACUCGACCCUUUCAAAUUCAAUUACAGGGGGCUCCAGCAGCCGGUAACAUUCCUCAAGUGAAAGCCAAAAAAUGUUGCCAUCAUCCUAA